UGCAGAAUCCCGCGAACCAUCGAGUCUUUGAACGCAAGUUGCGCCCGGGGCCAUCCGGUCCAGGGCACGCCUGCCUGAGCGUCAAUUCUUGGGACGCUCCGCUCCCCCGGGCGGCGAUGUGCUCGUGGGGAGCCGGAUGCGGACGUUGGACCCCCGUGCCCCACCCCCUUCGGCGCUGGGGUCUGAAGAGCAUGCUAGUGAUGCUGCCGAACACGGUGGAUGGUGGAUGCGUUUGAGAUGCGGACGCCGUGAAUCCGUCCGGCUCCUCGGAAUUGGGGAUGUCCCUCGCUGCCCGCACCGCGCAWGGAUCCCCGGCCAUCCGGUCGGGGCGGCGCCCCAUGGAUCGCGACCUCAGGUCAGGUGUGGUCACCUGCUGAGCUUAAGCAUAUCAAUAAGCGGAGGAGAAGAAACUUACGAGGAUUCCCUUAGUAGCGGCGAGCGAACCGGGAUCAGCCCAGCUUGAGAAUCGGGCGGGCCUUGCCUCUCGAAUUGUAGUCUGGGGAAGCGUCAU
rnacentral:rRNA from 1 species